rnacentral:lncRNA from 1 species
CCGGGUAUCAUUGGUGCCAUAGAUCGCCUCAAGCGCCAAAGGGCGGAGCUCGCCAAGGAGAUGGAGCAGGUGACCAAGGACAUAGCCGUUGAAGAGAAGAGACUCCAAGACCUUCCUUCUGUCAUCACUAAACUGAAGCAAGAGAGACAAAACCUGGCCCAUGAAGCAAUCAGACUCCAUCGCCAUAUGCCAGAAGUCCCAGGAUCG